rnacentral:rRNA from 1 species
UACGUAGGGUGCAGGCGUUAAUCGGAAUUACUGGGCGUAAAGCGUGCGCAGGCGGUCUUUUAAGUCAGAUGUGAAAUCCCCGGGCUUAACCUGGGAACUGCGUUUGAAACUGGAAGGCUAGAGUGUGGCAGAGGGGGGUGGAAUUCCACGUGUAGUGGUGAAAUGCGUAGAGAUGCGGAGGAAUACCAGUGGCGAAGGCGGCCUCCUGGGUCUCAACUGACGCUGAAGCGCGAAAGCAUGGGGAGCGAACGGG